CGGCAGGAGCGGGAGAGGCUGGCGGUGAAUGCGGCUGGGGGAGGGGGAAGACCCCCCGCGGGGACACUGGAGCCGGAUGUCGCGGACAAAGGGGAGCCCUGCGUGGGGAGGAGGGCAGCAGGAGCAGUGCAGCAAGCCAGCCCGGCGCCUAGGAGGUGGGGUACUGGGGCAAAGCCUUUGGGGUCUGGCAGGAGUCGCUCGCUGGCAGGGUGGAUGAAAGGGCCAUGAGCAGGAGAAAGUGAAGCCAAGUGAUUCCAAGGUGAUGGCAGAGGCGUUUCCUGUGUGAAGAGAACCACAUAGGGUGCAUCUACACAGCGGGGCUUACCUCGAAAUAAGUGAUACAGUCAGGAUCAGGGCCCUACCAACCCAGGGGAGGCUGCGGUCUCUCCCAUGAAGAAUUUACAAUGUAACUGAAGCUCAGCCACAGGAAAAGUGCGACAAGCAGGAUGGAGGCCAGGCAUCAGUGAUAAGAUCGCAUGGGCACAUGUUAUUGUUACAGCAGCUCUGAACUGGCUGAAUAAGCCUCACGUGGGCGUUCACAAUGCUGCAGGAGCCCCUGAAAAAGUAGGCAGCAGUCCGUUGCCCAUGCUGAGAUAUGUCCUGCUUUCCGAGCCCACAAGGGCUAAUGCAGCAGCACAUGUACAUCUACAUAGGGACACGGUGGCACAUGCAGCCCUAUGCAAGCCCCUGCAUGGGCACACAGACAUGCACGGAGGCUCAUCAGUUCAUACACAUGUGUGGGGCUGUGUUCCUUACCAGCUGGGUGCUCCUGUGGCCACUCAGGAGAGAUUCAA